UUGGUUCUUGCCACAGAUUAAAAAGGGAAUCAGGUGCAAGUCCUGGACAGUCCCGCUGCUGUAAUCGGCAUUGUUGCCAACAGACUAUAUAAGGUCACUGGGAGGUUUUCCUGGGAAGACGUCUGUUGGAGCCGAAAGUCAGAAUACCUGCCAUUGCUA
rnacentral:ncRNA from 1 species